GGGGGCGUAACGGCUUCGACGGGAUAGAAUCGUUUCGAUGAGGCGUGCCGGGUUCCGAGCUCCCGUAAAACGAUCGGAAAAACACAACUGCCAAUCAGCAGUUUGCAUACGCUGCCUAGUCAUUAGGUAGCCGCUGCCGGUGAUGAGCCUGCGCGUCAUCGUUCCAGCGUCAUUUUGCAGGAUAGGGUGAAGGCCUCCGCCUGGGGCCGUAGCUCGAGAUCAAUCAGGCUGGACCGCCGUACUUCUUGCCGGUUCUGAGGCGGCGGUUGAGAUUCUGAGCCGGAUACGCACGUAGGCUUGCCGGGGCGGGCUAUUUCGGACGCGGGUUCAACUCCCGCCGCCUCCACCA
rnacentral:tmRNA from 1 species